rnacentral:tRNA from 1 species
GGAGGAUAGAGGGCAUGGCGCCCAAGCGGUCUUGAAACCGUCCCAUUGCGAAAGCGAUGAUGGUUCGAUUCCAUUAUCCUCCGCCA